UACGGAGGGUCCAAGCGUUAUCCGGAAUCAUUGGGUUUAAAGGGUCCGUAGGCGGUUUUGUAAGUCAGUGGUGAAAGCCCAUCGCUCAACGGUGGAACGGCCAUUGAUACUGCAAAACUUGAAUUAUUGGGAAGUAACUAGAAUAUGUAGUGUAGCGGUGAAAUGCUUAGAUAUUACAUGGAAUACCAAUUGCGAAGGCAGGUUACUAUCAAUAUAUUGACGCUGAUGGACGAAAGCGUGGGGAGCGAAC
rnacentral:rRNA from 1 species